AUUGACGGUUACCGCAGAAGAAGCCACCGGCUUAAUCCGUGCAGCAGCCGCGGUAUUACGGAGGGUGGCCAAGCGUUAAUCGGAAUUACUGGGCGUAAAGCGCACGCCAGGCGGUCUGUCAAGUCGGAUGUGAAAUUCCCGGGCUCAACCUGGGAACUGCAUUUCGAAACUGGCAGGCUAGAGUCUUGUAGAGGGGGGUAGAAUUCCAGGUGUAGCGGUGAAAUGCGUAGAGAUCUGGAGGAAUACCGGUGGCGAAGGCGGCCCCCCUGGACAAAGACUGACGCUCAGGUGCGAAAGCGUGGGGAGCAAACAGGAUUAGAUACCCUGGUAGUCCACGCCGUAAACGAUGUCGAUUUGGAGGUUGUGCCCUUGAGGCGUGGCUUCCGGAGCUAACGCGUUAAAUCGACCGCCCUGGGGAGUACGGCCGCAAGGUUAAAACUCAAAUGAAUUGACGGGGGCCCGCACAAGCGGUGGAGCAUGUGGUUUAAUUCGAUGCAACGCGAAGAACCUUACCUGGUCUUGACAUCCACAGAACUUUCCAGAGAUGGAUUGGUGCCUUCGGGAACUGUGAGACAGGUGCUGCAUGGCUGUCGUCAGCUCGUGUUGUGAAAUGUUGGGUUAAGUCCCGCAACGAGCGCAACCCUUAUCCUUUGUUGCCAGCGGUUAGGCCGGGAACUCAAAGGAGACUGCCAGUGAUAAACUGGAGGAAGGUGGGGAUGACGUCAAGUCAUCAUGGCCCUUACGACCAGGGCUACACACGUGCUACAAUGGCAUAUACAAAGAGAAGCGACCUCGCGAGAGCAAGCGGACCUCAUAAAGUAUGUCGUAGUCCGGAUUGGAGUCUGCAACUCGACUCCAUGAAGUCGGAAUCGCUAGUAAUCGUAGAUCAGAAUGCUACGGUGAAUACGUUCCCGGGCCUUGUACACACCGCCCGUCACACCAUGGGAGUGGGUUGCAAAAGAAGUAGUGUAGCUUAUCU
rnacentral:rRNA from 1 species